UACAGAGGGUGCAAGCGUUGUUCGGAAUUAUUGGGCGUAAAGCGCGUGUAGGCGGCUUUGCAAGUCGGGUGUGAAAGCCCUCAGCUUAACUGAGGAAGUGCGCCCGAAACUGCAUUGCUUGAGUACCAGAGAGGAUGGCGGAAUUCCCGAAGUAGAGGUGAAAUUCGUAGAUAUCGGGAGGAACACCGGUGGCGAAGGCGGCCAUCUGGAUGGAUACUGACGCUGAGACGCGAAAGCGUGGGUAGCAAACAGG
rnacentral:rRNA from 1 species